rnacentral:lncRNA from 1 species
CAAAAUCAAAACACCAAAGAGGCCAAAUAUCAAUACUUGGUUAGGGUUUACAAAAAUAAAAUUAACCCCUAAACAACAACAUUAUAAUGAGAAGCGAAAUGAUUUAUAAAAACCCAAACCACCAAAACGCGACAAUGGCAACAAAUGACGAAACAAACACGACCACCAACCAAACCAAAAACCACAAUGCCACACUACGGGCUUACCUUCUCAAUGAUCGCCUUUCCCUGGUUGAGAUAAAACGAAAGGAACGCAGCAAUGGAGAGAACGCAGCAAUGAAGAUGGUGGCAAACGAAGAACAAAGGAGAGAAGGCGAAACUGUUCUCGGCAAAAGGUGAAACGAAAAUGAAACCGCCAAUUCCAAAAUGAUAUUCAAAGUUUCAUUAUUCCACUUCUACCCCCGUCACUUUAUUAAAAAACCUGUUUCAGUAUAUAAAAAAUCACCCAAUAGAAAUUUGACACCUGGACGGUGUCAAAUUUGUGUCAAAUGUGGGUGUCAAACAAACAUUUUCCUUUUAUAUAUAUUGUCACAACCCAUUCUAUCUUCCUCUGCAUCCAUUUAUAUCUUAUACUACACCCAAUUCUAACUUAUUUUAUUUUUAUUUUCCAAUAACUCUAACGUGGGACCAUGCUUUCUCUCUCCUCUCCUUUAUCUAUUCAUAAUAUACACACUUUUCUCACUCCUUUCUCACCAAAAUAACACUCACAGUGUGCCCAUACACAACCUCCAUUUUCAUGCAGAAGCUUCACCCCUUUCUCUUAUUUAUUUUGGUUAUACCCAUACCACCCCAAAUAACUAUUACAGUGCCUCCUUCUAUUUUCUUUAAUUCACGUANCCUACCCCUNUCUUUUCUCAUCNUUUUCUUAACUUAUGAAACCAAAGCACACCACGCUUANUGUUGCCAUCAUGCGUCAAGAACAAAACUACUCCUACCAAUUUAAUUCACGUAACCUUCGACUUUCUUCUACUUUUAUUUCUUCUAAUACAACCCCUCAACCGUAACCAACCAUAAUCCUUCCACUCAUUUCAACCUUACACACAUUCUUCUACCAGAACCAAGACUACUCUAUAUUCAUUCUCUUCAAGAGAAAAUGACACCCACACUUCAACAGAAUAAGUUUCUUCCGCUUUAUGCCUACGAUGUUCACGCACCUCUAAAUCACCACCCAAAGCUCUCCUCUCAUAACCGUGACCAACAUCUACCCAACAAUUCUCACAAACAUUCUUUUCCUUUAUGCAAUCAAGUUCAUACCAAGCCAAUUACAUAAAACAAUAACAAAACAAUCCAAACAGAACAUCAUAUUUUGAAUUUAAUCAUACAUGAAACACGAAAACAGAUUCAACCCAAAAAUAAUUAGCU